GAUAGAGGCCUACCAUGGUUUUAACGGGUAACGGGGAAUUAGGGUUCGAUUCCGGAGAGGGAGCCUGAGAAACGGCUACCACAUCCAAGGAAGGCAGCAGGCGCGCAAAUUACCCAAUCCCGACACGGGGAGGUAGUGACAAUAAAUAACAAUACGGGGCUCAUUUGGGUCUCGUAAUUGGAAUGAGUACAAUUUAAAUCUCUUAACGAGGAACAAUUGGAGGGCAAGUCUGGUGCCAGCAGCCGCGGUAAUUCCAGCUCCAAUAGCGUAUAUUAAAGUUGUUGCAGUUAAAAAGCUCGUAGUUGAACUUCGGGGUUUACCCAUUGGUCAGGCUUAAUUGUCUGUACUGGUGAGAUAAAUCUCUACCUUCUGAGGAACUUUCAUGUCAUUAAUUUGGUGUGAUUGGAAAUCAGGACUGUUACUUUGAAAAAAUUAGAGUGUUUAAAGCAGGCUAACGUCUGAAUACAUUAGCAUGGAAUAAUGAAAUAGGACGGAUUGAUUCUAUUUCGUUGGUUUCUAGGAUCACCGUAAUGAUUAAUAGGGAUAGUUGGGGGCAUUAGUAUUCAAUUGUCAGAGGUGAAAUUCUUGGAUUUAUUGAAGACUAACUACUGCGAAAGCAUUUGCCAAGGAUGUUUUCAUUAAUCAAGAACGAAAGUUAGGGGAUCGAAGACGAUCAGAUACCGUCGUAGUCUUAACCAUAAACUAUGCCGACUAGGGAUCGGACGAAGUAAU
rnacentral:rRNA from 1 species